rnacentral:lncRNA from 1 species
AUGUAAGCAUCACUCAUGAAGUAUAGAGUGUAGUUGUGGGCACCAGUGGCUGGAGCCACAAAGUCCAACUUCACCUUGGCCUUCUGCUGCAGGAUCAGCCUCUUGAUGGAGAUGAGGCUAUUGGACUUGGUGUCUCCAAUCACCACCCACCAGCCCUCUUCACGUUUCUGCGGGAAGAGAGGCGCAAUGACAGGGCCUGUGACUUCCUCCUCUCGCUCCAGCUGCACCAGCACCACCGCUGGCCCGCCACUGCGGAUGCUGUCCUUAUCCACCACCUCCUAAGAUAGUUCGAUAUUAGGGUAGCAGUUACAAAAGCGAGCCACAUCUGUAAUCUGGCUGUCAGUCAGCUGAAGAAUUGUGUUCCGUUCUUCAUCCUCCAUCUCCAUGAUGUCGAAAACACUCUUCACUCCCUUGUCUGUGCAACGUUUGAUAUGCUCAGAGAUGAAGUGUGGCAGCUGCUUCAGGUAUGAGUCCUUGGACCACAUGGCUUGGGUGACCAUCUGGGCCAAUUCCAUAGCUGCCAGAGCAGAGCUGAGCCACCCAUUGCUGGAGAGGACAUCCACGCAGGCCUGGACGAGCCGGACUGCCUUACUAAGGAUUUCCUCCGUAUCUGACUGCAACUCAGCACUCAGCUGCAUGCGGGACAGGUGAGCCUGCAGGAGCAGGUUGGUCUUGAUGUGCGGAUCAUUGAACUUAGGGUUAUUCAGCUUGUCAGGGACCUUCUGAGCCAACUGCCUCAGGAAGUUUUCUUCAUGGUGCUGGAUGGGGAUAUUCUCGUACCCUGCUGCAUUGGAGAUGAUCUCAAUAAGCCCUCGCACCUUGGUCUUGGCGUUGAGGAAGAGGAAGAUCAAAACGUUGUGCCAGAAACUACCUCUGAAGGCUACACUUUCCAAGUUCAGGAUGGGGCUCCUGGGACCUUUAACUUUUAGAUCAUGUAGCUGAGGCAUAAAUUUGUUGUGUACUAUGUUUGGUAUUUUGUCUUAUUGUUUCUCUACUAAGAACUCUUUCUUAAAUGUGGUUUGUUAUUGUAGCACUUUUUACACUGAAACUAUACUUGAACAGUUCCAACUGUACAUACUGUAUGAAGCUUGUCCUCUGACUAGGUUUCUAAUUUCUAUGUGGAAUUUCCUAUCUUGCAGCAUCCUGUAAAUAAACAUUCAAGUCCACCCUUUUCUUGACUUCACCAUGCCUAUGUGUUGCUUUCUAAUUUGGGGUCUUUAAUGUUGCUAGUGAAAGGUAACCCGUCCAAACUGAUGGGAUUAACCAGAGGUAGUCCUGGCUGCAGUUUUUACAGAAGAAUGAAUAAAAUUUUCCAGAAACCC